rnacentral:rRNA from 1 species
GACGUAGGUCGCGAACGUUAUCCGGAAUUAUUGGGCGUAAAGGGUGCGUAGAUGGCCUGGUAAGUUAGCGGUGGGAAACCGAGGCUCAACCUCGUGGAAGCUGGUAAUACUGCCAAGCUCGAGUGCAGGAGAGGUUAACGGAACUCCAUGUGGAGCGGUAAAAUGUGUAGAUAUAUGGAAGAACACCAAUAACAGCGAAGGCAGUUAACUAUUCUGCUACUGACAUUGAGGCACGAAAGCGUGGGGAGCAAAACGG